rnacentral:rRNA from 1 species
GACGAACGCUGGCGGCGUGCUUAACACAUGCAAGUCGAACGGAAAGGCCCCUUUGGGGGUACUCGAGUGGCGCACGGGUGAGUAACACGUGAGUAACCUGCCCUUGACUUCGGGAUAACCUCAGGAAACUGGGGCUAAUACCGGAUAGGAAUCCUUGCUGCAUGGUGGGGGUUGGAAAGCUUCGGCGGUUUUGGAUGGACUGGCGGCGUAUCAGCUUGUUGGUGGGGUAGUGGCUUACCAAGGCUUUGACGGGUAGCCGGCCUGAGAGGGCGACCGGCCACAUUGGGACUGAGAGACGGCCCAGACGCCUACGGGAGGAAGCAGUGGGGAAGAUUGAACCAUGGGCGGAGGCUGGAUGCAGCAACGCCGCGGGCGGGAUGACGGUUUUCGGGUUGUAAACCGCUUGCAGCAGGGGCGAAGCUUGUGGUGACGUUACCUGCAGAAGAAGCACCGGCUAACUACGUG